rnacentral:rRNA from 1 species
UCUUGACAUCCAGUGCAAACCUAAGAGAUUAGGUGUUCCCUUCGGGGACGCUGAGACAGGUGGUGCAUGGCUGUCGUCAGCCCGUGUCGUGAGAUGUUGGGUUAAGUCCCGCAACGAGCGCAACCCUUGUCAUUAGUUGCCAUCAUUAAGUUGGGCACUCUAAUGAGACUGCCGGUGACAAACCGGAGGAAGGUGGGGAUGACGUCAAGUCAUCAUGCCCCUUAUGACCUGGGCUACACACGUGCUACAAUGGACGGUACAACGAGAAGCGAACCUGCGAAGGCAAGCGGAUCUCUUAAAGCCGUUCUCAGUUCGGACUGUAGGCUGCAACUCGCCUACACGAAGCUGGAAUCGCUAGUAAUCGCGGAUCAGCACGCCGCGGUGAAUACGUUCCCGGGCCUUGUACACACCGCCCGUCACACCAUGAGAGUCUGUAACACCCAAAGCCGGUGGGAUAACCUUUAUAGGAGUCAGCCGUCUAAGGUAGGACAGAUGAUUAGGGUGAAGUCGUAACAAGGUAGCCGUAGGAGAACCUGCGGUUGGAUCACCUCCUU